rnacentral:rRNA from 1 species
UACGGGGGGUGCGAGCGUUGUCCGGAAUCACUGGGCGUAAAGGGCGCGUAGGUGGUUUGAUAAGGGUGUGGUGAAAGUCCGGGGCUCAACCCCGGAUCUGCCGUGCCGACUGUCAAACUCGAGGGCUGUAGAGGCAGACGGAAUUCCGGGUGUAGCGGUGAAAUGCGCAGAUAUCAGGAGGAACACCGAUGGCGAAGGCAGGUCUCUGGGCAUUAACUGACGCUGAGGAGCGAAAGCAUGGGGAGCGAACAGG